rnacentral:rRNA from 1 species
GAUGAACGCUAGCGGGAGGCCUAACACAUGCAAGCCGAGCGGUAUUGUUUCUUCGGAAAUGAGAGAGCGGCGUACGGGUGCGUAACACGUGUGCAACCUGCCUUUAUCUGGGGGAUAGCCUUUCGAAAGGAAGAUUAAUACUCCAUAAUAUAUUGAACGGCAUCGUUUAAUAUUGAAAGCUCCGGCGGAUAGAGAUGGGCACGCGCAAGAUUAGCUAGUUGGUGAGGUAACGGCUCACCAAGGCGAUGAUCUCUAGGGGGCCUGAGAGGGUGAUCCCCCACACUGGUACUGAGACACGGACCAGACUCCUACGGGAGGCAGCAGUGAGGAAUAUUGGUCAAUGGGUGCAAGCCUGAACCAGCCAUCCCGCGUGAAGGACGACUGCCCUAUGGGUCGUAAACUUCUUUUGUAUAGGGAUAAACCUACCCUCGUGAGGGUAGCUGAAGGUACUAUACGAAUAAGCACCGGCUAACUCCGUGCCAGCCGCCGCUGUAAAAC